rnacentral:lncRNA from 1 species
ACACCAGGUGGACCUGGAGAGACCCACUCUGACCUGCUCCAGCACUGCAGGGAAACCUGUCGUUUGCAAGAGGAUGUUCAGUUCACAACCACGGGGAGAUACAUGUCUGGAAGAGAAGAGCCAGCUAUCUGCCAAAGCCAUCAGCCUGCAAGCGCUCGCAGGAACUCGUGUGCUCUCCCUGCUGAUCUUGCUGGUUUAGUAAGGAAAAGCAGUCCUGGCUGCAGAGGAUGUCUGGUGCUCACAGGAGGGACAAAGCAGAUCCAAAACUGGCUAUCCUGAUUCUGUUCCCUACCUGCCACCCUGCCUGGUUCCUGAGCACAAAGGAGUUUUGGGGACUGAUGGCUUGCACAGCAAGCAACCAUGGAGUUUGUCUGAAAUUAUGUCCUCUCUGAUUUGGAUGAGCAUGUGAGGAACACAGAGAGGCAACAGAAGGGGUUAAAUCAAUAGUUACAUUUAAAUCAAUACCCUGAUUUAUGCUCCUGUCCCAGUGUUGCUGACUUUCUUUGCCCCCUGAUUUGAGGGUGCAGACCUCAGUGGCUCAUUCUGAGCCACCAUUUCUGUGGUGAACAUGGAUUUUGACAGACAUGCUGCAGGAUUGGGCUGAUUUGUUGGUUUUUUUGUUGAGAAG